UACGUACGCCGAAAGAGCGCGCGCAGAAAGGUGCCCUUCGAAACCACACACAGGAAGACGCCACGUGCCUAAAAC
rnacentral:lncRNA from 1 species